rnacentral:siRNA from 1 species
UGCAGUUCUUUUGUUGUUGACAGC